GACGAACGCUGGCGGCGUGCUUAACACAUGCAAGUCGAACGGUAAGGCUCCAGCUUGCUGGGGUACACGAGUGGCGAACGGGUGAGUAACACGUGGGUGACCUGCCCUGCACUUCGGGAUAAGCCUGGGAAACUAGGUCUAAUACCGGAUAGGACCAUGGUGUGGAUACUGUGGUGGAAAGCUUUUUCGGUGUGGGAUGGGGCCGCGGCCUAUCAGCUUGUUGGUGGGGUAAUGGCCUACCAAGGCGGCGACGGGUAGCCGGCAUGAGAGGGUGGACGGCCCCAUGGGGACUGAGACACGGCCCAGACCCCUAUGGGAGGCAGCGGUGGGGAAUAUUGCACAAUGGGGGGAAGCCUGAUACAGCGACGCCGCGUGGGGGAUGACGGCCUUUGGGUUGUAAACUCCUUUCACCAUCGACGAAGGGUUUCUGACGGUAGAUGGAGAAGAAGCACCGGCUAACUACGUG
rnacentral:rRNA from 1 species